rnacentral:sRNA from 1 species
CAACUUAGAAGGCCGAAGCUUUUAUGAAGCACGGGGGACCCACUAUUAGGGGUGAAGCCGCAACAGCGGCCGGGUGAUUACUCUUUGAUCCGAAUCCGACAGCUAACCUCGCAGGCCGCAAAAAGGAGAGGU